rnacentral:rRNA from 1 species
UUUCCGUUAGAUCACCGAAGUCAAGCAUCAUUGAGCGCGGUCAGUACUUGGGUGGGUGACCACCUGGGAACACCGCGUGCCGUU